CAGCAGCCGCGGUAAUACGUAGGGUGCGAGCGUUAAUCGGAAUUACUGGGCGUAAAGCGUGCGCAGGCGGUUCGUUAAGACAGAUGUGAAAUCCCCGGGCUUAACCUGGGAACUGCAUUUGUGACUGGCGAGCUAGAGUAUGGCAGAGGGGGGUAGAAUUCCACGUGUAGCAGUGAAAUGCGUAGAGAUGUGGAGGAAUACCGAUGGCGAAGGCAGCCCCCUGGGCCAAUACUGACGCUCAUGCACGAAAGCGUGGGGAGCAAACAAGAUUAGAUACCCCUGUAGUCCCUGUCUCUUAUAC
rnacentral:rRNA from 1 species